GCGGAAGUAGCUCAGUUGGUAGAGCACAACCUUGCCAAGGUUGGGGUCAGAGUUCGGAGUCUCGUUUUCCGCU
rnacentral:tRNA from 1 species